UACACCACCAAGAAUCACAAAAAUGUAAAUUCUUCUCCUUUAGUGACAGAAAGAUCAGGUUCAUUUCACACUGUGGAAUUUCUAAUUAAUAACCUCAUACAUUUUGACAAAUCUAACUAGUCACAGCUAGUAUUAGUAAAUCUCCUGAUUUUAUCACAUUUGUCCUAGUAGUUCAUUUAUUUGUCAACGAGGAAACAUGUUUUUCAGAAUCAAAAGGUUGUAUUUAUGAGUUUGUUAUUGCAUUUGAAAAGUUUCGUUUAUACAUCCAUAGAAGAGCUACUGCCAUGAUGUUAUUAUUAUUUUUUGGACAUAUUUUGAAAGCUGUUGCAAACUUGCAAUUGAUACAAGAAAUAUAUUCCCCUGAAAAUCUGCUAUGAGAGAAUAGUCAAGCAGCUUUAUUAAAAAUUUCAUUGCUAGAUUCUAAAAUACUGUAGCCUCAUGGAUUGAACUGACCUGCUGAGCAGUGCACUGUCAGGAGAAAAUUUGAA
rnacentral:misc_RNA from 1 species